AUAGUGAAAUGUCAUACACUGUAAAUCAGUGGCAUUUGCUAAAUUAAAUUAGUUAAUUUAACAAAAAAAGUUAUUUCAACUCAAUAUAUAUGUGAUGUGAACUCAAAAUCUAAUUAGGUUAAGGGGAACUCAAUCUAAAUAAGUAUAAAUUAAUUUAAUCUACCAUAUGGUUAUUAUGUCUAAAUGGCUGACCACAAAAUAUUUUAAAGAAAAAUUUGCUUAAUUCAUGAUUUCUAACAUUGUUUUUCUAGAAAUCACGUUUGCUUUAUCUCUUUCAAUAUUAAUUAAAUAGCCUUCAUAACUAAAGAUAAUACAAUAAAUACAUAAAUCUGUUUCAUAUUAAGCAUAGAUCAAUCCUUUUAAAGAAAUUAAUUUUACUCGAGACAAAAUAUUAUCCGGGUGUUUUUCAAAAACCGCGCGCAUUUUUCAGUCAGUCACAUCCGCCCCUCCCCCACAGCUCACAGCCACGGGAUCACAGCCGGACGGCUCGCGACGCCGUCACGGAAAAUAACAGCUGGACACAGACAAACGAGUCCCGCGAAUUGUAUUUUUAAACUGGAGAGACAGCUGACAGGAUGUCGUCAUCUGUAACCGUCACUCGCCACAGUUCUCAAGAGAGUGCAAAGGCAGCGAGGGGUGGUGUGAUGUCAUUUGCAACAAGACGGCUGAUACUAAUAUGAGCCUAAAAUAAAGGACAAUAAUGGCAUCAGCCAUUCAAGUUAUGAUCCUGGCAGAUCUACUACUAUCUGAAAAGUAGUCUCUGCAGAUUGUUUCAAGAUACACAAGGUAGGACACAUGUCAGGACAACUUUAUAUUUACUUGGCAACAUUUUAAAAUUUUAGCUGAGAUCAGCAUAGUUAAAAAAAUAAUAAUAAUCUGUCAUGGUUUGCUCACCCUCAUGUUGUUCCAAAUUCAUUUUGAAUGAAUUUCAUUCAUCUUCAAACAAAUGUUUUUAUUUUUGAUUUUCAUUCAUCAUUUUUGUCUUUCCAUUGGAAGUCUUUAUUUUCAAGCUUCUAAAAGUUUAUAGUUUAGGCUUUGACACAUAAUAAAAAAAGCUACUUAUACCUUCUGUUAUUUAUCUUGUUUCUGAAUACCUGUAAAAUUUAAAGGAUUAACUAACAACUUGAGUGUAACUUGUUUUUUUGCUCUCAAUGCCAUUUUGACAAUGCAGUUUUUUUAAU